rnacentral:ncRNA from 2 species
GUUAUCCUUCGGGGUCGGGUGAAAUUCCCAACCGGCGGUGAUGAAGCCAAGAACUUCUAAGUCCGUGACCCGGUUAACAGUUUGUUAAACGGUGGAGCUGGUGAAAAUCCAGCACCGACAGUAUAGUCUGGAUGGGAGAAGGAAGAA